rnacentral:rRNA from 1 species
AGCAGCCGCGGUAAUUCCAGCUCCAAUAGCGUAUAUUAAAGUUGCUAGCAGUUAAAAAGCUCGUAGUUGAAUUUCGGGACUAAUAUGUCGGUCGUGCCUAGGUACGUACUGGCUUAUUGGUUUCUCCUUUCUGAAGAACCAUGAUGUCAUUUAUUUGGUGUCGUGGGGAAUCAGGACUGUUACUUUGAAAAAUUAGAGUGUUUAAAGCAGGCUCACGCUUGUAUACAUUAGCAUGGAAUAAUGAAAUAGGACGUUUGAUUCUAUUUUGUUGGUUUCUAGGAUCGACGUAAUGAUUAAUAGGGAUAGUUGGGGGCAUUAGUAUUCAAUUGUCAGAGGUGAAAUUCUUGGAUUUAUUGAAGACUAACUACUGCGAAAGCAUUUGCCAAGGUAUGUUUUCAUUAAUCAAGAACGAAAGUUAGGGGAUCGAAGACGAAUCAGAUACCGUCGUAGUACUUAACCAUAAACUAUGCCGACUAGGGAUCGGAUGAUGUUAAUUUUUAAUGACUCAUUCGGCGUACC